GACGAACGCUGGCGGCGUGCUUAACACAUGCAAGUCGAACGGAAAGGCCCUUCGGGGUACUCGAGUGGCGAACGGGUGAGUAACACGUGGGUGAUCUGCCCUGCACUUUGGGAUAAGCCUGGGAAACUGGGUCUAAUACCGAAUAGGACCACGCGCUUCAUGGUGUGUGGUGGAAAGCUUUUGCGGUGUGGGAUGGGCCCGCGGCCUAUCAGCUUGUUGGUGGGGUAAUGGCCUACCAAGGCGACGACGGGUAGCCGGCCUGAGAGGGUGACCGGCCACAAUGGGACUGAGAUACGGCCCAGACUCCUACGGGAGGCAGCAGUGGGGAAUAUUGCACAAUGGGCGCAAGCCUGAUGCAGCGACGCCGCGUGAGGGAUGACGGCCUUCGGGUUGUAAACCUCUUUCACCAGGGACGAAGCGUAAGUGACGGUACCUGGAGAAGAAGCACCGGCCAACUACGUG
rnacentral:rRNA from 1 species